rnacentral:lncRNA from 1 species
UGGGAUGAUAAUACGUUUGGAUCGGAUUAUCUACGGAUAUCGAUACCAAAAAUCUUCCACCAUAUAUGAAAUUUUCUCGUUCAUCUACCUCUUUCAUCAUGGUGAACGAUCCGCUAGUGUUGCAAGUGGAGUUGAAUGUUCAAGAGGUGGUUAGAAUUUCAAAGCAUAAACAUAUGAAACUAUCAAUGUCUUUGCUCAUCUCUGUAUG